rnacentral:rRNA from 1 species
GACGAACGCUGGCGGCGUGCUUAACACAUGCAAGUCGAACGGAGAAGCGCCUUCCUUUUUGGUGGGUGGGGAGGAGUGGCGAACGGGUGAGUAACACGUUAGUAACCUGCUCCCUCCUUCUGGAUAACCGCAUGAAAGUGCUGCUACUACGGGAUAUUCUGGGUCUGUCGCAUGAUGGGUGUGGGAAAGAUAUUGUUUCGGUGGGGGAUGGGCUCGCGGCGUAUCAGCUUGUUGGUGGGGUGAUGGCCUACCAAGGCGGCGAUGCGUAGCCGGCCUGAGAGGGGGGUCGGCGGCAAUGGAAGGGAGACGAGGCCGAGACGACUACGAGAGGAGGCAGUAGGGAAGAUUCCGCAACGGUGGGAGGAAUGACGAAGCAGCGCCGCGUGGGGGGUGAAGGUGGUCGGCGCGUUGUGAACUGCUUUCGGGAGAGAAGCAGUGUUGCCUCGUUUGUGCGUGGGUUGACGGUAGCUGGACAAGAAGCGCCGGCUAACUACGUG